ACAAAUCAAGACUUCUAAAAAACUGGCAACCAAAUAAACGAGUAAACUCUUAUAAAUAUAAAAAAUCUAUGAAAUUAAAGCAUCUGAUGCUUGAAAUGGUCAUGGACUCUGACAACGAUGUGUCGAUCUUCAAGCAAAUAGUCUGUUCCAUUCGAAAAUGAAACAAGUUCUGUAGAUACAAGUGAAGUUUCCUAGACACCCCCAUGCUUCAAAUGAUUAAAGGCAAUGUCUGCUUUCAACAGCCAUCGAUAUUUAUCAAUUAGAUGAAGAUUCGCAAUAGAAAUAUGAAUCCAAACGUCAGAAUCAAAGGAUGGAAGAAUCUGGACAUUACGCACAAUAUCCAAAAUAAUUUUAACGAGUUAAACUAAUUUCACAGUUGAUACUAACAUGUAGACAUUCUAUGACUAAAAUCAGCACUAAUCCAGAAGAUAGAAUACAGAGACAAAUUAAUCAGAAACUCGACUAAAGAUGCGACAAAUUUAGGUCGAGAAGGUAGAGUUCUCAAAUGUGAUUAUCAGUCAGCAAAGAAAGAAAUCAGUACAAGAAACCAGCCAGACUUGUUUCCAGUUAUAGAAAAGGCCAUUCUUAGAAUUCGAACUAUAGAUAAUCAAAUAGUGACUGCAAACCACUACCAAUAAUAACCAAAUUAGUUGAAUUCCAUUCAUUAAUCUAACAAGCCAACACUUUAAUCUAAGGAAACAGGCUUUAAACCAUUUAUGAACCGAUUGCACCCAAGCUUUCAUUAUUUUUUAAAUCAAACACCAAUGAAAAUAGGUAGGAAUAAAGAAAAGAACCUGAAUGAGAGUUUUUAAUUAUUUAUGUUCGGAAGUUAUUACAAACAAAUCUGGCGCUGGGAUUCAGUCUUCAAACAGCAAAUGAGCAAAAUACAGCAAUGAAAACGGAUUCGAAUUCACGAACUUAAACCUUACCAGCACUUCAAAAACCUCUAUUAACCUCUAUGUUUUUUAGCCCCAAAUCCGAGUGAAAACUCAAAUAUUUUUGUAUGUUAAAAAAAACUAAGAGAAGAAAACGUUUUUUUCAAACCUAAGAAAAAUCCUUUUUCUGAAUUUCCCUAAGAUAUUUUAACCAAAAAAAAUUUCUCCCCUUUUUGCCAAGAAAUCCUUACCUUAUAUACAAACCUCUAAAAUUCUCCAAAAAUCCGAAAAUCCAAUCCGUUUGUAAAUGAUUUUAGGGACA
rnacentral:lncRNA from 1 species